rfam:Picea glauca, whole genome shotgun sequence.
GGGUGCGAUCAUACUAGCGCUAAUGCACUGGAUCCCAUCAGAACUCCGCAGUUAAGCGCUCUUGGGCUAGAGUAGUGCUGGGAUGGGUGACCUCUCGGGAAGUCUUAGUGUUGCACCCU